rnacentral:lncRNA from 1 species
AUUUAUGAGCACUCAAUCCCACUGGUCUGUGUCUGUCUGUUCCAGUCUCGUUUAUCGUAUAGUUUUGACUGCUUACACCUUUAGAAUAAAUUUUAAAAUCAAGAAGUGUGAGUUCUCCCUGUCUCAAAAAAAAAAAAAAAAAAAACCAAAACCAAAACAAAACAAAAAAAAAAGUGUGAGUCCUGAAGAUGUGUUGUUUUUGUUUGUUUGUUUGUUUUUCAUGACAGGGUUUCUCUGUAUAGCCCUGGCUGUCCUGGAACUCACUCCGUAGACCAGGCUGGCCUCGAACUCAGAAAUCUGCUUGCCUCUGCCUCCCAAGUGCUGGGAUUAAAGGCAUGUGCCACCACCGCCCAGCUGUCUAUAUGUUAAUUUUAAAUCUUAUAUGUGUGUAUAAUGUGUAUGUCAGUGCCAGCAUUCAUGUGCUGCAGGGGGUGGUGUGUGUGUGUGUGUGUGUGUGUGUGUGUGUGUGUGUAGACCGGCAGAGAAAUCUGGGGAGUCUGCUCAUUUUAAAUCGUGUCCUCAGACUUGACCCAGGGAUUGCUUUUACCGCCUUACCCUGCUCACCUGCCCUAACCUGGAUACUUUGUUGAGUUUAUUAUUUAUUUUAAAGUUUUUAAUGCAAGGAUUUAUUUUCGUUUAUGUGUAAUUACGUGCCUGUAUGGAUGAAGUCAGAAGAGCGCAUGGGUCACUUAGAGCUAGAGUUGUGUAUAAUAGUAUUUUGGUAGUGAUGGUGGGGAUUGCCACACUUCCUUUUGUUUCCAGUUAUCUCUGGGUUUUUUUUACACCCACUUUAUCCUGUUUAGCUUUUGACUAAAACACACAGAGACCUGGAAUUUUUAUUAAGAACCUGUUGGCGGGCUGGAGAGAUGGCUCAGCGGCUAAGAGCACUGACUGCUAUUCCAAAGGUCCUGAGUCAAAUCCCAGCAAUCAUAUGGUGCCUCACAACCAUCUGUAAUGGGAUCUGAUGCCCUCUUCUGGUGUGUCUGAAGACAGCCUCAGUGGACUCAUAUACAUAAAAUAAAUAAAAUCCUUUAAAAAAAAAAAAAAAGAACCUGUUGGCAAUGUGCUUGGCAGGUUCUGAGCUAUUCAGCCUGACUUGGCUGCUAACAUCCAGAUAAAUGCCCCUUUUCUUGCCAUCUGUAUCUUGCUCUGGCUUGCUCUGCUCCACGUGUACUCUUGGCCAAUCCUCUUGGUGUCCCACACGUUGGUCUCUCUACACCUUUCUUCUUUUCUUUUCUCCUUCUCCUCCUUUUCCUCCUCCUCCUCCUUUCCCUCCUCUUCUUCCUCCUCCUCCCCCCUCCCCUCUCUCCCUCCUCCCUCAAUCUCUCCCUCCCUGGGAUCCUAUGCCUCACUUCUACUGUCUUCUCCUGCCCCACCAUAGGCUGACUAGCUGUUUAUUAACAAAUCAGAGAUGAUGAAAAACAACUUUUACAUAACAUUGAGACCGGAAGUACUUGACUACGACCAUCUGUACUGUAACCAGAUGUCAGGGCACAAAAAAUACAGUAUGAAAGACCUCCCCAACAGUUGUGAACCACUAGACAUGGGUAUUGGGAAAUGAACUUGGGUCCUUGGGAAGAGCAGUAAGCGCUAUUGGCCUCUGACCUAUCCUUAAUGCCCCUACUUUUUUUUUUUUUAAUUGUGUAGUGGGUUUGGCCUAAUGCUGCUUGUAUAAUAAUGUUAAUUUGGGGUUCUGAUUGGUAAAUAAAGAUGCCAUCAGCCAAUGGCUGGACAGGGCAGACAGAGGUGGGACUUUUAGGAUUCCAGGGCUUUGGAAUCCCAGGGAGAGGAGGAGAGACAAAGAGUGGAGGACAGGGAGGUAUAGUCAGUGGGAGUCCAGGGCAGCCAAGGUCCAAUAUAGAACUUAGUAAGUACUAACUCGGGAUUAUCGGCCGGAGGUGAGGAAGUGGCCCAACUGUUGCGCUGGUUAUGGCUUAUCAAAUAUGUGUUUUUAAUUCAGGAACAUAAAACAUGGGGGCGGGUAGCAGGAACCAGCCGCCGGUAUUUAUGUAUAAAAAUUAUUGCCAGUUUCUAUUGUCUGCCUGGGAAACUUUUUUGCCAAAAUACCUACAUCCGACUCCUUCACAUUUUAGAUUCUGCUUAAAUGUCACCUCAUCAGGAAGCAUUUCAUAGCCACACCAAAAUAGUACACUUACCUGUCUUAUUACUUCCUAUGCCCUUUUAUUUUGCUUUAUUUUUCACUUCUAAUUUACUAGAACCUAAUGUUAUUUAUUUGGUAAUUUCUCUUCCAAGUAUGUUCAAAGUUCCCUGAGAAGGAUUUAGUGAUGCUUUUAUUUUUUUCUUUUGAGACAGGAUUUGAUGUACUCAGGUGGCCUUAUUCUUGAGUAAUUUAUUUUUCUGCCUCCACUUCUGAGUUCCAGGGUUACUGGUGUGCACCCGUGUUUACUGUACACGGUGCUGAGGAUGGAAUCCAGGCAUGUGCAUAUUAGGCAAGCAAGCAUUCUUAUCAACUGAGCUGCAGCCAAGCAACCCCCCCCCCUUUUUUAAUUAGAUUUUUUUUUUUACAUUUGAAAUGUUAUAGCAACCCCCUUUUAAAAAGUUUUGCAUUUUUAAUUAUGUGAGGUAUGUGUGUGUUUGUGUGUGGUAUGUGUGUGGUAUGUGUGUGUGUGGUGUGUAUGUGGUGUGUAUGUGUAUGGUGUGUGUGUGUGUGUGUGUGUGUGUGUGUGUGUGUGUGGUGUGUGUGUGUAGAUAAGUGCAUAGGAGUUUGGGUGCCCUGGUGCUGGAACUGCAGGUGACUGGGUACUGUAUGGGCUCUUCACUGCUGUUUUUCUAGCUCACAAUUUGUUUUUUGAAUUUUGUUUUGUUCUCUAGUUUAUCUCUACCAUCUAUCAUAUAGUAAGUAUAUGAUGAAUAUUUAUAGAAUGACACAGAAUUUAAAAUUUUUUAAAAAAUCUUAGUCUCCCUCUCUUAUCAUUUUGGCUUGAAAUUUUAAACAUCUGUAUUGAGGCCCAAACUGAUGGAGUUAGGAAUCAGCAAGAACCUGGCACUUUCUAGUUGGAGAAAUUGGGGCAGAAGUACCUUUUCUGGUACACUGACAGUUUCUAAAAUACCUCUUGGGAGUUUUUAAAAUUCUGUUUUCCUUCCUGGCUGGCUUAUACCUGGCUAUGUAGACAUGCUGGCUUGUAAUUCAUAAAUUUCUCCUGCCUCUGCCUCCUGGGUGCUGGGAUUACUGGCAUGAGUUGUCAUAAUUUUUAGCAACAUGUGAUCUGUCUGAAUUUAUUACUCUGUCCUAACAGUGUGAACGUCAUUCAUUCAGGACCUUAAUCUCAUGUCCAUGCUAGGAAGUAACAGAUGCUAGGAGCAGCAGGAUACUUGGAGAAGCGUUAGUCGCUGGAAAGUGAAUCCGUUAUACUUGAUACUUUUAGCUUACCUCAGUAUGUGUUGGAUUUAACUUGGAUUUUAGUGAACUCUCAAUAAUGUUGUAUAUUCCUAUGAGUAAUGUGCAUUGUUCUAGGCUUCAGUAUAGUGGCAAAAUGAUAGAUAGCAUUACUAUUACCCAGAAGUUAAAUUUCCCAAGAACACAAAUUUGCUCUUCUGACCACUCAGUAAUAUGCUGGUGAAUGGGGUCUGGAAAGAGAGGUCGAGGUAUGCAUCUUCAAUACAUACUCAGUGGGGUAAAUAACUCAGGCUGGCUCAGUUGUGUAUUAAGUAUAUACGUAUUUUAUGGAUUCUACUCUGUGGAUUGUAGUUCUUGAUAGAAAUUAAUGGGGCCUUAUUUAAGGUUUAUGGGGAAGAAGAGUGCCAUGAGGAGAGACAAGUGCAUGCAUGCCAGCCAGACAAGAGAGACAAGUGCAUGCAUGCAGCCAGACAGGAGAGACAAGUGCAUGCAUGCAGCCAGACUGCCGACUGAGCUUCAUCACUUUAAAAAGCACUGAUUGGUUGGUUGGUUGGUUGGGGGCAUAUGUGCAGUCUAGCCACAACUUGCGGGAGUAGAUUCCUCCUUUUCACCAUAUGGGUUCUGGGAUUUGAACUCAACUUUUUAGGCUUGAUGGCAAGCGUGGAGUGAGCCAUCUCACUCUCCCACCCAAUCCUUCUCCCACUUUAAAAAUGUGUAUUUGUGUGCAGUGUGCAUGCAUGUGUAGGCCUGGAGUUGACCUUGGAUAUCUUGCUAGGUGGCCGAGGAUCUGGUACAGAACCCAGGGUUUACAAUUUUGGCUGUUCUAGCUAGCCAGCCUGCCCUAGAGAUCGCCUGUCUUUGCCUCCAAGUGUUGGGAUUACACAUAGCAGCUUGGCUAUUAAAUGAAUUUUGGGCAUCCAAACUUUAGUCUUCACUCUUGAAGUGCAAUCACAGUUAAGAAUAUUAGAAAUAUGGGCUGAUAUAAUGGCACACACACUAGAGAGGCAGAGGCAGGAGGAUCUUUGUGAGUUUGAAGUCAGCCCUGUGAGUUGCCAGACACAGCCUUGGGCUACAGAGAGAGACCCUUUCUCAAAACAGAUAAAUCAAGUAGGAAUGGAAUUCUGAAAAAGAGAUGUUUUUACAUCUUACAUUAUGUUGGCCUCUCUUCUAAAACAGAGUGGGAGCUGUUUUGUGAAGUGUGCUUGCUUGCCCUGCAUGAAGCCCUGGGUUUGCUCUCUACUGCAUCAUAAAAUUAGUACUUGAUGAGUAGAUGCAAGAAGACCAGAAGUUCAGAGCCAGCCACUGCUACUUAGAGAGUUGGAAGCCUGCCUGGCCUGCAUGAGACCAGCCUC